rnacentral:rRNA from 1 species
CAGUCGCCGCGGUAAUACAGAGGAUGCAAGCGUUAUCCGGAUUUAUUGGGUUUAAAGGGUGCGUAGGCGGCUUAUUAAGUCAGGGGUGAAAGGCGGUAGCUUAACUAUCGGAGUGCCCUUGAUACUGAUGAGCUUGAAUGCAGCUGAGGUAGGCGGAAUGUGACAAGUAGCGGUGAAAUGCAUAGAUAUGUCACAGAACACCGAUUGCGAAGGCAGCUUACCAAAGUGCGAUUGACGCUGAGGCACGAAAGCGUGGGGAUCAAACAGGAUUAGAUACCCCAGUAGUCCCUGUCUCUUAUAA